GACGAACGCUGGCGGCAUGCCUUACACAUGCAAGUCGAACGGACCUAGCAAUAGGUUAGUGGCGAACGGGUGAGUAAUACAUGAGCAACCUGCCUCAAACAGGGGGAUAACACCGGGAAACUGGUGCUAAUACCGCAUAAGACCACAGCGCGGCAUCGCGCAGGGGUAAAAACGAUUCAGUGGUUUGAGAUGGGCUCAUGUCCCAUUAGCUAGUUGGUGAGAUAACAGCCCACCAAGGCGACGAUGGGUAGUCGACCUGAGAGGGUGAUCGGCCACAUUGGGACUGAGACACGGCUCAGACUCCUACGGGAGGCAGCAGUGGGGAAUAUUGGGCAAUGGGCGAAAGCCUUACCCAGCAAUGCCGCGUGAGUGAAGAAGGUCUUCGGAUUGUAAAGCUCUUUGAUCAGGGACGAACACAAUGACGGUACCUGAAGAAGCCCCGGCUAACUUCGUGCCAGCCGCCGCAGUAACAC
rnacentral:rRNA from 1 species